AUUGAACGCUGGCGGCAUGCCUUACACAUGCAAGUCGAACGGCAGCACGGGAGCAAUCCUGGUGGCGAGUGGCGAACGGGUGAGUAAAGUAUCGGAACGUGCCCAGUCGUGGGGGAUAACGUAGCGAAGGUUACGCUAAUACCGCAUACGAACUAUGGAUGAAAGCGGGGGAUCGCAAGACCUCGCGCGAUUGGAGCGGCCGAUAUCAGAUUAGGUAGUUGGUGGGGUAAAGGCGCACCAAGCCGACGAUCUGUAGCUGGUCUGAGAGUACGACCAGCCACACUGGGACUGGGACAAGGCCCAGACUCCUACGGGAGGCAGCAGUGGGGAAUUUUGGACAAUGGGCGAAAGCCUGAUCCAGCCAUGCCGCGUGCAGGAUGAAGGCCUUCGGGUUGUAAACUGCUUUUGUACGGAACGAAAAGGUUUGGCCUAAUAAGCUGAGCUCAUGACGGUACCGUAAGAAUAAGCACCGGCUAACUACGUGCCAGCCGCCGCCGUAAAAC
rnacentral:rRNA from 1 species